UGGGGAAUUUUCCGCAAUGGGCGAAAGCCUGACGGAGCAACGCCGCGUGAGGGAUGAAGUCUCUAGGGAUGUAAACCUCUGCUGGGAGGGACGAAGAUCUGACGGUACCUCCUGAGGAAGCCCCGGCUAACUACGUGCCAGCAGCCGCGGUAAUACGUAGGGGGCAAGCGUUAUCCGGAUUUACUGGGCGUAAAGAGCGCGUAGGCGGUUCCGUAAGUUGGUUGUGAAAGUUCGAGGCUCAACCUCGAAACUGCGUCCAAUACUGCGGGGCUGGAGUGCGAGAGAGGCAAGUGGAAUUUGCGGUGUAGUAGUGAAAUGCGUAGAUAUCGCAAGGAACACCAGUGGCGAAGGCGGCUUGCUAGCUUGUAACUGACGCUGAGGCGCGAAAGCUAGGGGAGCGAAC
rnacentral:rRNA from 1 species